ACAGAGGUUCCAAGCGUUGUUCGGAUUCACUGGGCGUAAAGGGUGCGUAGGGGGUCGGGAAAGUCGGGUGUGAAAUCUCACCGCUCAACGGUGAAAUUGCAUUCGAAACUUCUCGACUAGAGGAUCGGAGAGGAAAGCGGAAUUCUUGGUGUAGCGGUAAAAUGCGUAGAUAUCAAGAGGAACACCGAAGGCGAAAGCAGCUUUCUAGAAGAUACCUGACCCUCAUGCACGAAGGCUAGGGGAGCAAACGG
rnacentral:rRNA from 1 species